rnacentral:rRNA from 1 species
UAGGGAAUCUUCCACAAUGGACGCAAGUCUGAUGGAGCAACGCCGCGUGAGUGAAGAAGGUUUUCGGACCGUAAAGCUCUGUUGUUGGUGAAGAAGGAUAGAGGUAGUAACUGGCCUUUAUUUGACGGUAAUCAACCAGAAAGUCACGGCUAACUACGUGCCAGCAGCCGCGGUAAUACGUAGGUGGCAAGCGUUGUCCGGAUUUAUUGGGCGUAAAGCGAGCGCAGGCGGAAGAAUAAGUCUGAUGUGAAAGCCCUCGGCUUAACCGAGGAAUUGCAUCGGAAACUGUUUUCUUGAGUGCAGAAGAGGAGAGUAGAACUCCAUGUGUAGCGGUGGAAUGCGUAGAUAUAUGGAAGAAUACCAGUGGCGAAGGCGGCUCUCUGGUCUGCAACUGACGCUGAGGCUCGAAAGCAUGGGUAGCGAACAGGAUUAGAUACCCUGGUAGUCCAUGCCGUAAACGAUGAGUGCUAAGUGUUGGGAGGCUUCCGCCUCUCAGUGCUGCAGCUAACGCAUUAAGCACUCCGCCUGGGGGCAGUACGACC